UGGGGAAUAUUGCGCAAUGGGGGGAACCCUGACGCANCCAUGCCGCGGGAAUGAAGAAGGCCUUCGGGUUGUAAAGUUCUUUCGGUAUUGAGGAAGGUUGAUGUGUUAAUAGCACAUCAAAUUGACGUUAAAUACAGAAGAAGCACCGGCUAACUCCGUGCCAGCAGCCGCGGUAAUACGGAGGGUGCGAGCGUUAAUCGGAAUAACUGGGCGUAAAGGGCACGCAGGCGGUUAUUUAAGUGAGGUGUGAAAGCCCCGGGCUUAACCUGGGAAUUGCAUUUCAGACUGGGUAACUAGAGUACUUUAGGGAGGGGUAGAAUUCCACGUGUAGCGGUGAAAUGCGUAGAGAUGUGGAGGAAUACCGAAGGCGAAGGCAGCCCCUUGGGAAUGUACUGACGCUCAUGUGCAAAAGCGUGGGGAGCAAACAGGAUUAGAUACCCUGGUAGUCCACGCUGUAAACGCUGUCGAUUUGGGGGUUGGGGUUUAACUCUGGCGCCCGUAGCUAACGUGAUAAAUCGACCGCCUGGGGAGUACGGCCGCAAGGUUA
rnacentral:rRNA from 1 species